ACUUGCCUUCAGGAGGGGGAUAACAGUUGGAAACGACUGCUAAUACCGCAUAACGUCUACGGACCAAAGGGGGCUUCGGCUCCCACCUGAAGAGAGGCCCAAGUGAGAUUAGCUAGUUGGUAAGGUAAAGGCUUACCAAGGCGACGAUCUCUAGCUGUUCUGAGAGGAAGAUCAGCCACACUGGGACUGAGACACGGCCCAGACUCCUACGGGAGGCAGCAGUGGGGAAUAUUGCACAAUGGGGGAAACCCUGAUGCAGCCAUGCCGCGUGUAUGAAGAAGGCCUUCGGGUUGUAAAGCACUUUCAGUUGUGAGGAAAAGUUAGUAGUUAAUACCUGCCAGCUGUGACGUUAACAACAGAAGAAGCACCGGCUAACUCCGUGCCAGCAGCCGCGGUAAUACGGAGGGUGCGAGCGUUAAUCGGAAUUACUGGGCGUAAAGCGCACGCAGGCGGUUUGUUAAGCUAGAUGUGAAAGCCCCGGGCUCAACCUGGGAUGGUCAUUUAGAACUGGCAGACUAGAGUCUUGGAGAGGGGAGUGGAAUUCCAGGUGUAGCGGUGAAAUGCGUAGAUAACUGGAGGAACAUCAGUGGCGAAGGCGGCUCCCUGGCCAAAGACUGACGCUCAUGUGCGAAAGUGUGGGUAGCGAACAGGAUUAGAUACCCUGGUAGUCCACACCGUAAACGCCGCUUUUAGCUGUUUGUGAAUUUAAUUCGUGAGUAGCGAAGCUAACGCGCUAAGUAGACCG
rnacentral:rRNA from 1 species